rnacentral:piRNA from 1 species
UGCAAUGACUGUAUCCCUCCUUCGUUCC